UACGUAGGGGGCAAGCGUUGUCCGGAAUCAUUGGGCGUAAAGAGCGUGUAGGCGGCUCGGUAAGUCCGCUGUGAAAGUCCAGGGCUCAACCCUGGAAUGCCGGUGGAAACUGUCGAGCUAGAGUCCGGAAGAGGCGGAGUGGAAUUCCUGGUGUAGCGGUGAAAUGCGCAGAUAUCAGGAGGAACACCAAUGGCGAAGGCGGCUCUCUGGGACGGUACUGACGCUGAGACGCGAAAGCGUGGGGAGCGAACAGG
rnacentral:rRNA from 1 species